rnacentral:sRNA from 1 species
AUGUACCACUUGGACACCGCAGUUGCUGUGCGCCGCGCGCGCCCGCCUGGCGACUGCUGGCGCCGUUUUGUCAGCC